rnacentral:rRNA from 1 species
GCUCCAGACUCCUACGGGAGGCAGCAGUGGGGAAUAUUGCACAAUGGGGGAAACCCUGAUGCAGCGACGCCGCGUGAAGGAAGAAGUAUUUCGGUAUGUAAACUUCUAUCAGCAGGGAAGAAAAUGACGGUACCUGACUAAGAAGCCCCGGCUAACUACGUGCCAGCAGCCGCGGUAAUACGUAGGGGGCAAGCGUUAUCCGGAUUUACUGGGUGUAAAGGGGGCGCAGACGGCGAUGCAAGCCAGGAGUGAAAGCCCGGGGCCCAACCCCGGGACUGCUCUUGGAACUGCGUGGCUGGAAUGCAGGAGGGGCAGGCGGAAUUCCUGGUGUAGCGGUGAAAUGCGUAGAUAUCAGGAGGAACACCGGUGGCGAAGGCGGCCUGCUGGACUGCAACUGACGUUGAGGCCCGAAAGCGUGGGGAGCAAACAGGAUUAGAUACCCCCGUACG